CCGCCUCAUUCGUCAAGCUUCCGGCGUCUGAGUCUCCAGGGCAACCGUCAGACUGACGGCCUAGGAAAGCGAGGCCCAGAAACUUCUGGGUGUCGCGGACUCAAAGGAGCAGAGAAACGGGAGGCGCCUGGGAGUGAGAAAAGUCUCCGACGCAGGCGUCCCUGGCUCCGCUUGCCAGUUUGCUCCGCAUUGGUUGGAAACAGACUUUACGUGUCACGCCUGCCUUCUGCCAAAGGAGCAUCCCACCUCCCCCUACCUGCUCUGGCCCUUGAGGACAGAAUAGGCAAUAUCUAAUGGAGGACCAGGGGAAAAUGAUCGAAUGAAGCCAUCAUAUGUGCAUUCUAGACCUCCACCACCAGAGCUCGACCCCUCUACGUCAAGACCUGGCUCCAAGGAGUAACACCUGGGCCCUUGUCUUUGCUCUAACCAGUUUCUGGAUGCCUGAGAGGACUCACAGUCCAGACCACAAUCCUCAGUAAAAGCCCCUGGACCUCCGGCAAAACCGAGGCUCUCUCCUUUCCUGAGUCUCCUGGACGCUGUCUAUACCUGCACUCUCUCUGUACCUUCAAUAAACUCUGCUCUCACAGCC